UAAUAUAGGUGUAUUUUCCGUACUUACUGAUCAGUAAAAAAAGAUAUGCUGGAUUAUAUUUCACAAAACCAGAAAUUCAUGAUAAAAUGGAUUGCAAAGGCAUUGAAACAGUCAGAAGGGAUAACUGUCCUUUAGUUGCUAAUCUUAUCAAUACCUGUUUAGAAAAACUUCUUAUUGACAGAGAUCCUAAAGCAGCUACUGAAUAUGCAAAACAGACCAUAUCUGAUUUGUUAUGCAAUCGAAUCGAUAUAUCACAGUUAGUGAUUACAAAAGAAUUAACUAAAACUGAUAAGGAAUAUGCUGCAAAACAAGCUCAUGUAGAAUUAGCCCACAGGAUGAAGAAGAGAGAUCCAGGAAGUGCUCCUAAUCUUGGGGACAGAGUGCCUUAUGUUAUUAUAGCUGCUAGUAAAAAAACUGCAGCAUAUUUAAAAUCUGAAGAUCCUAUCUAUGUGCUAGAAAAUAGUAUUCCUAUAGAUACACAGUAUUAUUUAGAAAACCAAAUAUCAAAACCAUUGCUUAGGAUUUUUGAACCUAUUCUUGGAGAAAAAGCAGAGUCCAUUUUGCUGUGUGGCGAUCACACACGAACGAAAACUGUUGUAACAUCGAAAGUUGGUGCUCUAUCUGCUUUUACAAAAAAGAGAAGUACCUGUAUUGGAUGCCGUUCUCUUUUAGACAAAGAUGAUGCUGCUGUGUGCAAUCACUGUAAAUGUCGUGAGGGUGAGAUAUAUCAAACUGAACAAUCAUACUGGCUCAAAUACAAGGUAACCUCACAUAUCAGAGUAUCUUAUACCUUUGUGGAUAUUUCACAUGAACGAAAAAAUAUCAUAUCUGAACUCAUUUGAAGAAAAGUUUGCUCGUCUAUGGACAGAAUGUCAAAGAUGUCAAGGCAGUUUGCAUGAAGAAGUUCUCUGUACCAGUCGAGAUUGCCCCAUUUUCUACAUGAGGAAAAAAGUGCAAAAGGAUUUGAGUGAUCAAGAAAAAGUUGUUCGCAGAUUUGGAAGUAUUGAAUGGUGAAUUGAAUUGGAAUUUCAUAUUGUUGUGAACAUUUUAUGCUGUUUGUAAAUAUACACUUUUAGAUCAAUGUAAAUAAUUUAUGCAAGAAUGUUUAACUUUUUGUUUUUCGUAUCAUAUUUAAAAAAAGAAGAAAGUCUGUUCUAAAUCAAUUAAAGUUUCAUUUUUUUGUA